UUCUACGGUCAUGCUACCCUGAACAAGCCCUAUCUUGUCUGAUCUUGGAAGCUAAACAAGGUAGGGCCUGGAUAGUAUUUGAAUGGGAGAGCACCUAGGAAGACCAAGUGCUAUAGGUG
ensembl:rRNA 5S_rRNA 5S ribosomal RNA